rnacentral:lncRNA from 1 species
UGCAGUAAGCGUAGGGCAGCAUGGUAGGUUGAUGGUUUGCCAACAUUGGUCACUGUUCUGGUGAAAACGGCAUUGAUUUCCUGUCCAUCACCAAGGUACAAUGCCAUGGUAGGAUAGUUGAGAUCCCAGCCUCUUCCGGGAGUUAUACCUUUACAAGUGCUAUUUUCUCCAGUGAUCUGUCUGAGAUUGUCGAUGUUGUGUUUGCAUAGGAACUUCACAUAAUCUUCCUCGUCAGCAGCAAAAAUUAGUCCCUGCUUGAUUGCACGUGUAGGGUUGAUGUGACCAGCACCAUAUGAAAAUUCAAGAUCGGGAUGCUUCCUUG